GACGAACCGUGCGAACGUUAUUCGGAAUCAUUGGGCUUAAAGAGCGCGUAGGCGGCGACGUAAAUUGGAAGUGAAAUCCCAUCGGCUCAACCGUGGAAUCGCUCCCAGUACUGCGUUGCUCGAGGGAGAUAGGGGCCUGUGGAACUGCCGGUGGAGCGGUGAAAUGUGUUGAUAUCGGCGGGAACGCCAGUGGCGAAAGCGACAGGCUGGACCUUUUCUGACGCUGAGGCGCGAAAGCUAGGGGAGCAAACGGG
rnacentral:rRNA from 1 species